CUAUAGCUCAGCUGGGAGAGCGCUUGCAUGGCAUGCAAGAGGUCGACGGUUCGAUCCCGUCUAGCUCCACCA
rnacentral:tRNA from 1 species